rfam:Treponema denticola ATCC 35405, complete genome.
GUUUAUCUGACGAGUUUUGUGCUUUGCACAAAACAUCGCAUUAUUAUAUGUGUGUGCUUUUCGGCACACACUUGAAAAAACUUUUUUCGCAAAUUGAUAUUUGCUGCAAAAAGUUUUUAUAGGA